rnacentral:misc_RNA from 1 species
AACGCACAUUGCGCCCAUUAGUAUUCUAGUGGGCAUGCCUAUUCGAGCGUCAUUUCAACCCUUAAGCCCUGUUGCUUAGUGUUGGGAGUCUACGGCUUCGGCGUAGUUCCCGAAAAUCAGUGGCGGAGUUAGGGUACACUCUCAGCGUAGUAAUCUCUCUCGCUUGUGUGGUGGCCCUGGCUGCUAGCCGUAAAACCCCCUAUUUUCUAGUGGUUGACCUCGGAUUAGGUAGGAAUACCCGCUGAACUUAA